GCGUCCUAUUAGCUUGUUGGUGGGGUAAUGGCCUACCAAGGCGAUGAUGGGUAGUGGGUGUGAGAGCACGACCCGCGUCACUGGGACUGAGAUACUGCCCAGACACCUACGGGUGGCUGCAGUCGAGGAUCUUCGGCAAUGGGCGCAAGCCUGACCGAGCGACGCCGCGUGCGGGAUGAAGGCCUUCGGGUUGUAAACCGCUGUCAGAGGGGAUGAAAUGCAGGUGGGUACUCCCAUUUGUUUGACAUAUCUUCAGAAGAAGCCCCGGCUAACUACGUGCCAGCAGCCGCGGUAAUACGUAGGGGGCGAGCGUUGUCCGGAAUCAUUGGGCGUAAAGCGCGUGUAGGCGGCUCGGUAAGUCUGCUGUGAAGGCCCAGGGCUCAACCCUGGGAUGCCGGUGGAUACUGUCGAGCUCGAGUCCGGAAGAGGCGAGUGGAAUUCCUGGUGUAGCGGUGAAAUGCGCAGAUAUCAGGAGGAACACCAAUGGCGAAGGCAGCUCGCUGGGACGUGACUGACGCUGAGACGCGAAAGCGUGGGGAGCAAACAGGAUUAGAUACCCUGGUAGUCCACGCUGUAAACGAUGGGCACUAGGUGU
rnacentral:rRNA from 1 species